rnacentral:rRNA from 1 species
CCAAUAGCGUAUAUUAAAGUUGCUGCAGUUAAAAAGCUCGUAGUUGAAUUUCGGGAUCAUCAUGUCGGUCGUGCCUCGGUACGUACUGGCAUCGUUGGUUUCUCCCUUCUGACGAACCAUGAUGUCAUUUAUUUGGUGUUGUGGGGAAUCAGGACUGUUACUUUGAAAAAAUUAUAGUGUUUAAAGCAGGCUCACGCUUGAAUACAUUAGCAUGGAAUAAUGAAAUAGGACGUUUGAUUCUAUUUUGUUGGUUUCUAGGAUCGACGUAAUGAUUAAUAGGGAUAGUUGGGGGCAUUAGUAUUCAAUUGUCAGAGGUGAAAUUCUUGGAUUUAUUGAAGACUAACUACUGCGAAAGCAUUUGCCAAGGAUGUUUUCAUUAAUCAAGAACGAAAGUUAGGGGAUCGAAGACGAUCAGAUACCGUCGUAGUCCUAACCAUAAACUAUGCCGACUAGGGAUCGGAUGAUGUUAAUUUUUUAAUGACUCAUUCGGCGCCUUACG